UACGGAGGGUGCAAGCGUUAUCCGGAUUCACUGGGUUUAAAGGGUGCAUAGGUGGGUUUGUAAGUCAGUGGUGAAAUCUCCAGGCUUAACCUGGAAACUGCCAUUGAUACUAUAGAUCUUGAAUUUUCUGGAGGUAAGCGGAAUAUGUCAUGUAGCGGUGAAAUGCUUAGAUAUGACUAGAACACCAAUUGCGAAAGGCAGCUUGCUACAGGAAUAUUGACACUGAGGCACGAAAGCGUGGGGAUCAAACAGG
rnacentral:rRNA from 1 species